CGAGAACCUCCCGGACCCCACUCUGCUCCUGGAGAUUCGCCCUUCCCACCAGAGCAUUGCCAGAGUAUUGCAUAAUUCCGUCCUUCUGAAAGAAUCACAGCCACAUCAAGUCACUGCCUUGUCACCAUUACUGAUGAGGAAACGAGUUGUGUGGGGCAGAAAAAGAAGGUUGCUGCGGUGACAGCUUUUUAAAGACAAACUUUUUUAGAUGCAGUUUGGUACAUUACUCAACAGUCUUAGCUAUUUUUAAUUGUAGCUUAAUUUAACUCUGGUCCUCUUGUCCCCAUGCUUAGAUUGUUGGAGCUAAAUAAAGAGAAGGCCUAAGCUU